GGUGACGUGGCCGAGUGGUUAUGGCGCUAGUUUCAGGUUAUCAACCUACUAGUGGGAAACCGCGUGAGUUCGAGUCUCACCGUCAUCA
rnacentral:tRNA from 1 species